rnacentral:rRNA from 1 species
UACGUAGGGUGCAAGCGUUGUCCGGAAUUAUUGGGGCGUAAAGAGCUCGUAGGCGGUUGUGUCACGUCGGCCGUGAAAACCUGCAGCUUAACUGUGGGCGUGCGGUCGGAUACGGGCAUCACUGGAGUUCGGCAGGGGAGACUGGAAUUCCUGGUGAUAGCGGUGAAAAUGCGCAGAUAGUCAGGAGGAACACCGGUGGCGAAAGGCGCCACUCG